GUGAGGAAUAUUGGACAAUGGCCGAGAGGCUGAUCCAGCCAUGCCGCGUGCGGGAGGACGGCCCUAUGGGUUGUAAACCGCUUUUGUUGGGGAGCAAUAAGGUCUACGUGUAGACUGAUGAGAGUACCCAGCGAAUAAGCAUCGGCUAACUCCGUGCCAGCAGCCGCGGUAAUACGGAGGAUGCGAGCGUUAUCCGGAUUUAUUGGGUUUAAAGGGUGCGUAGGCGGGUGCUUAAGCGUGAGGUGAAAGCUCGGAGCUCAACUCCGGAACUGCCUCGCGAACUGGGUGCCUUGAAUGUCCGUGCCGUGGGAGGAAUGUGUGGUGUAGCGGUGAAAUGCAUAGAGAUCACACAGAACACCGAUUGCGAAGGCAUCUCACGAACGGAUGAUUGACGCUGAGGCACGAAAGCGUGGGGAUCAAACAGG
rnacentral:rRNA from 1 species